GGGGUUGUGGCUCAGUGGUAGAGCAUUUGCCUAGCAUGCAUGAGGCACUGGGUUCAAUCCUCAGCACCA
rnacentral:tRNA from 1 species